AAAUUGAAGAGUUUGAUCAUGGCUCAGAUUGAACGCUGGCGGCAGGCCUAACACAUGCAAGUCGAGCGGAAACGACAUUAUUGAUUCUUCGGAGGAUUUAAUGGGCGUCGAGCGGCGGACGGGUGAGUAAUGCCUAGGAAAUUGCCUUGAUGUGGGGGAUAACCAUUGGAAACGAUGGCUAAUACCGCAUAAUGCCUACGGGCCAAAGAGGGGGAUCUUCGGACCUCUCGCGUCAAGAUAUGCCUAGGUGGGAUUAGCUAGUUGGUGAGGUAAUGGCUCACCAAGGCGACGAUCCCUAGCUGGUCUGAGAGGAUGAUCAGCCACACUGGAACUGAGACACGGUCCAGACUCCUACGGGAGGCAGCAGUGGGGAAUAUUGCACAAUGGGCGAAAGCCUGA
rnacentral:rRNA from 1 species